GUUGAAGGUUGGGUAACACUAACUGGAGGACCGAACCGACUAAUGUUGAAAAAUUAGCGGAUGACCUGUGGCUGGGGGUGAAAGGCCAAUCAAACCGGGAGAUAGCUGGUUCUCCCCGAAAGCUAUUUAGGUAGCGCCUCGUGAAUUCAUCUCCGGGGGUAGAGCACUGUUUCGGCUAGGGGGCCAUCCCGGCUUACCAACCCGAUGCAAACUGCGAAUACCGGAGAAUGUUAUCACGGGAGACACACGGCGGGUGCUAACGUCCGUCGUGAAGAGGGAAACAACCCAGACCGCCAGCUAAGGUCCCAAAGUCAUGGUUAAGUGGGAAACGAUGUGGGAAGGCCCAGACAGCCAGGAUGUUGGCUUAGAAGCAGCCAUCAUUUAAAGAAAGCGUAAUAGCUCACUGGUCGAGUCGGCCUGCGCGGAAGAUGUAACGGGGCUAAACCAUGCACCGAAGCUGCGGCAGCGACACUCAGGUGUUGUUGGGUAGGGGAGCGUUCUGUAAGCCUGCGAAGGUGGCCUGUGAGGGUUGCUGGAGGUAUCAGAAGUGCGAAUGCUGACAUAAGUAACGAUAAAGCGGGUGAAAAGCCCGCUCGCCGGAAGACCAAGGGUUCCUGUCCAACGUUAAUCGGGGCAGGGUGAGUCGACCCCUAAGGCGAGGCCGAAAGGCGUAGUCGAUGGGAAACGGGUUAAUAUUCCCGUACUUGGUGUUACUGCGAAGGGGGGACGGAGAAGGCUAUGUUGGCCGGGCGACGGUUGUCCCGGUUUAAGCGUGUAGGUGUGUGUUCCAGGUAAAUCCGGUUCACUUUAACACUGAGGCGUGACGACGAGGCACUACGGUGCUGAAGCAACAAAUGCCCUGCUUCCAGGAAAAGCCUCUAAGCAUCAGGUAACAUCAAAUCGUACCCCAAACCGACACAGGUGGUCAGGUAGAGAAUACCAAGGCGCUUGAGAGAACUCGGGUGAAGGAACUAGGCAAAAUGGUGCCGUAACUUCGGGAGAAGGCACGCUGACACGUAGGUGAAGUGAUUUACUCAUGGAGCUGAAGUCAGUCGAAGAUACCAGCUGGCUGCAACUGUUUAUUAAAAACACAGCACUGUGCAAACACGAAAGUGGACGUAUACGGUGUGACGCCUGCCCGGUGCCGGAAGGUUAAUUGAUGGGGUCAGCGCAAGCGAAGCUCCUGAUCGAAGCCCCGGUAAACGGCGGCCGUAACUAUAACGGUCCUAAGGUAGCGAAAUUCCUUGUCGGGUAAGUUCCGACCUGCACGAAUGGCGUAAUGAUGGCCAGGCUGUCUCCACCCGAGACUCAGUGAAAUUGAACUCGCUGUGAAGAUGCAGUGUACCCGCGGCAAGACGGAAAGACCCCGUGAACCUUUACUAUAGCUUGACACUGAACAUUGAGCCUUGAUGUGUAGGAUAGGUGGGAGGCUUUGAAGUGUGGACGCCAGUCUGCAUGGAGCCGACCUUGAAAUACCACCCUUUAAUGUUUGAUGUUCUAACGUGGACCCGUAAUCCGGGUUGCGGACAGUGUCUGGUGGGUAGUUUGACUGGGGCGGUCUCCUCCUAAAGAGUAACGGAGGAGCACGAAGGUUGGCUAAUCCUGGUCGGACAUCAGGAGGUUAGUGCAAUGGCAUAAGCCAGCUUGACUGCGAGCGUGACGGCGCGAGCAGGUGCGAAAGCAGGUCAUAGUGAUCCGGUGGUUCUGAAUGGAAGGGCCAUCGCUCAACGGAUAAAAGGUACUCCGGGGAUAACAGGCUGAUACCGCCCAAGAGUUCAUAUCGACGGCGGUGUUUGGCACCUCGAUGUCGGCUCAUCACAUCCUGGGGCUGAAGUAGGUCCCAAGGGUAUGGCUGUUCGCCAUUUAAAGUGGUACGCGAGCUGGGUUUAGAACGUCGUGAGACAGUUCGGUCCCUAUCUGCCGUGGGCGCUGGAGAACUGAGGGGGGCUGCUCCUAGUACGAGAGGACCGGAGUGGACGCAUCACUGGUGUUCGGGUUGUCAUGCCAAUGGCACUGCCCGGUAGCUAAAUGCGGAAGAGAUAAGUGCUGAAAGCAUCUAAGCACGAAACUUGCCCCGA
rnacentral:rRNA from 1 species